UUUUGUGAAAAGUAUCGGUGCCGCAUGCGGGUGUGCCGGGUAUUACGGGCGUUACGGGGGUGUCCAAAAAAGUAAAACAAAAAAAACGCUUUGUAAGAUCUAUCAGCACUUAGUCAGCGGACAAGCAAAGGUGUGCGGUUCAGAUAAGUGGGGGAGUUUCGAGAGACUCCCCAAAGGGGUGAUAAAUGGGAUCAUCAGAAACACCCUGACAUUCAGAUCCCUAAAAGCUGCUGAGACGGUAAUCCCAUGUACAUUUACCUCAACAUAUCAUAACUGCGUCUUGGCUUACCGCUUCGCGUUUGGAUUUCGCUGAUGCCUCGCAUUUCUUAUAUAGAUCAAUGAUCGCCAUGCAUCCACGUAAUUAAAUUAACUGACUGUCUUGAUUUCUGCCCACUCAUGGAUAAUGAAAAGUGUAGAAGCGCAAUAAAUUCCUGGAAUCGUCUCGGUUUCAAGAACUUUCCGAUUUGUUAAACUUCGUUUCCAGUUCCCAUGGAACUGGACAUGGCAGAUAGAUGACCGCAAAUUUUCAAUCUUAUCGGUGCGAUUUGGGGCCUCCGAGUUACCCCGACCAAGUGCUCGACAGCAGCAACCCCUGCAGUUGCACAAAGGUGCAUCCUUGCAUCAUCCUUGGCCACUUUCUGGUGGUGGUGGUGGUGCUGCUGGUGGUGUCGGUGGUGCACCUGUCACUGUGGUGGCCCUUCGCGCUCUCGCAGGCUGGUCGAAAAGGAGGAGAGAGAUCCCGAGUCGCCGGAUCAUUGACUGGGAUCGGGUUACCCUACCCUGCCACACAGUUCACAGAAUCGCCAGGACUCCAAAUUUCUGGGUUCCUAAACUGCCGAGUCGUCAGCCUGGCUGCUCUGGCUAAAGGGGUUUAAUCAACUGGAAGGCGGCAGUUAAACUUUCGCCGCCGAACGAUCCUUUUUUUUUCGUCGCCCGCCUUGCAAAUCGAUCACAUUUCAGGGACGUAAUCCGAGAAUCGGAAGUCCGACUGGAAACGAGGCGAUGUAAUGCACCAGUGGACAUGGUCCUGCUCACUCUGCCCAGUCUGUUUCCUCUGUUUCCAACUGGCCAGGAAGCUUUACAACCACCAUAUCACAUGUCACUUGACUUUGGGAUAUGGCAAAAGGAUGCAAAGUUUAUUACCCGAUGAUAGGAAGUUUCUUAUACUGCAUAUAUAUUUCCUAUA